UAUUAUCAUCAUUAAUAUCAUCAUCCUCAAGGGAAGAACAAUUAUUUUUAAAGGCAAGAUAUAAUGGCUUAGAUCAUCUUCAGUGAAAAGUUCACGGGAGAUCUGGAAGAGCA